AACCUCUCGGCGCCUGGCGGAGCCGGAAAGGAAGGGCGGGGGCGGGGGUGAAGGUUGAGCGGGGACUGCGGGCUUCCGCGCCGGCUGCAGGCGGGAGGAAGAUGGCUGAGGGCGAGCGGCAGCCGCCGCCAGGGUCUUCAGAGGAUACCCCUCCAGCCACUCAAAACUUCAUCAUUCCAAAAAAGGAGAUCCACACGGUUCCAUACAUGGGCAAAUGGAAGCGCUCUCAGGCAUAUGCCGACUACAUCGGAUUCAUCCUCACCCUCAAUGAAGGUGUGAAGGGGAAGAAGCUGACCAUUGAGUACAGAGUCUCCGAGGCCAUUGAGAAACUGGUCGCUCUUCUCAACACUCUGGACAGGUGGAUCGAUGAGACCCCUCCGGUGGACCAGCCCUCUCGAUUUGGGAACAAGGCUUACCGGACCUGGUAUGCCAAACUUGAUGAGGAAGCAGAAAACUUGGUGGCCACAGUGGUCCCCAGCCAUCUGGCAGCUGCUGUGCCUGAGGUGGCUGUCUACCUAAAGGAGUCCGUGGGCAACUCCACACGCAUCGACUACGGCACAGGACAUGAGGCAGCGUUUGCUGCCUUCCUCUGCUGUCUCUGCAAGGUUGGGGUGCUGCGGGUGGAUGAUCAGAUUGCUAUCGUCUUCAAGGUGUUCAAUCGGUACCUUGAGGUCAUGCGGAAACUCCAGAAAACAUACAGGAUGGAGCCAGCCGGCAGCCAGGGAGUGUGGGGCCUGGAUGACUUCCAGUUUCUGCCCUUUAUCUGGGGCAGUUCGCAGCUGAUAGACCACCCAUAUCUGGAGCCCAGGCACUUUGUCGACGAGAAGGCUGUGAAUGAGAACCACAAGGACUACAUGUUCCUGGAGUGCAUCCUGUUUAUCACCGAGAUGAAGACGGGCCCCUUUGCAGAGCACUCCAACCAGCUGUGGAACAUCAGUGCCGUCCCCUCCUGGGCCAAGGUGAACCAGGGUCUCAUCCGCAUGUAUAAGGCCGAGGGGCCGUCUCCCCCAGGCUGGGGACUGAGACAACCAGAGGACAUAGGAAAGGGCUGCGAUCUCCAGGUUGGUCUGCAUCUGCACUAAGAGGCCUGACGGAGGGAUGACUGAGAGGAGUCCAAGGGAGCCCCAUAUCUUGGGUCAGUGUCCCCUGGUCGUUGGGGGGGUUCUCAAGUGCCACACAGACUCCCCCACUGAAAGAUUUCCGGCUGUACCCAGACUUCUGGGCUCACGGGCCUGGGCAGUGGUGAAGCUGCUGGUACAGGACUUCACUUUGAGAACAGCCUGUGUGCAGAGACCGGCACCCAGAUGGCUGCCAUGGUCCCGGCUGGGACUGGGGACAGAGACCAUAUCCUCCUCCUCCUUAGGAGCCACCUCAGCCCUUGGAAGAAGGAAGCAGGGCCUAAACCAACAGGCACAACGUGGAAGCAUCCAUCUGCCACUGCAGUGCCCAGAGGGGCGCCUGGCCCAGGGUGAUGUUCAGUCCCAAUGUGUGCCCUUGGGGCGGGUCUGUGCUGAGUAUGUGGAGGGAUUCAGGGGGCGCCCUUCAACCAUGAAGUGGCUCUUUGGGCCAGGGGUUCCGAUCAGCUGGAGCAGAUGCCAGGAGCCCUCCUAACGGCAGUCUCCACGGGAGGGGUCUUUUCUCUUCCUUCCCAGACUUCAGGGCUGAGCUCCAAGCUCGGCCUGUCUGAGAGGCCUCCCGCACCACCCUGCGGCCUGUGCCCUGUCCGUUGUUUGGUGCCUCCGUCUGAGAACGUGAGCCAGGAGUCCCAAGACCUUCCCUCUGUGGCUUCCCCCCUGCUGUGGUGCCUGGCGCGGAAUCCCAAAUCUUUGUGAACCAGUGAAGGAUGGCUUCACUGUAACUCAUGCCUGCUUCCUGGAGGACACUGAUGCUCAGAGAGGUGAAGCCACUUGCCUGAGGACACGCAGGAGGACACUGGAAGAUACUCUCAAAACUGAAAGACGCCUUGGAGAUGCCUCUACUUACCCCGACUUUGCCUGCUAACAGGAAAACUAUGAUUUAUUGAGCACCUAUUAUAUGCUGAGGUGCACGGUCUGGUUCAGCUCCUGCAACAUCACAGGCCCUGAUCAUCUCACUAGAUUUCUGUGAGGAAGGGGGUUGCAGAAGCACAGAAUGCGCCUGGAGGCCCUCUGAGAAGCUGUCUGAGGAGGGCAGGACGAAAGCACCUCGAGAGGGCAGUUCUGGGUGCACCCGAGCAUCCCCCAACUUUCAUGCAUCAUGUUGGCGUCAUGUCGAGUGCAGCCCCUGGUGCAGCAGGCCUGAGCAGGGGAUCCGAGUGGUUCGUGUUUUAAGACCAUGGUUGCAUUUCCACUGAGAAGUACUCAAGCCUGACGCAUUGGCCUCGAGGAUGUGGAAAACACUAGGGGUGAGGAGUUCACCAGCACGGCACCGCCAACAGGUCGGUGGACUACAGACCUACAGAAUUUGGGAACCAAAAUCUGAAUCCCAAAUGGUGCCCAAAUGGACUGAGGCCCACAGCCAGACAUUGGCCCAGAACCGUGCCUGAUACCGCUGAGCAUAAGAUGGGUGUGGCCAGAGGAGGCCCAGGGCGAACCAGCCCCAUCCCUGGCAAAGGAGAGGCCGCCCGUCAUGGUAAAACCUUCCAUGGCGCCUCACCGCCCUCAGGAGGAAGGACCUUCAUGGGAAGCAAAUAUUACACUAAGCCCAGGCGCAAGACCCAUUUCUUUCUCCACAAGCAUAGACCUUCCCUGAUACUGCAGCACGAGCUCCUUCUGCCAACACGAUUGACAGGAAACAGAAAUUGAUACACUCGCCCAAGGUCACACAGCUUGUACAGAGUGGAGCCUGACUCUGCACUCAGGCCACCUGCCUCCAGAGGCUGUGCUCUUGGCCUAUCCCGGCUGCACCCGCUUCGGAUCCGGGCUCUGCAUAGAGAGGCUGCACCACCUUAGGUGCAGGGAGCUCAGAGGGCGCAAGCCUCUUCCCCUAGGGCACACAGCUGGCUGAGCCACAACCCAUGGCCCGGGCCCCUGACUCCCUGUCCGUGGCUCCACUGAGACCACGGCCGCUGGGAAAGACCCCCUCAGCUGGCUGGGCUCCACGGACAGAUGGACGGAUGACGGCUGCCCCCUCCCAUAGCCUGCGGGCUCCCAGGCUUCGCCACCUCCUCCCGAGCAGGUUUCCUUUAAGAAACCAGAAGAUUGAUUUCCUGGCAGGCUCUGCGCCGAGGAGCCCGUCCAAAUGGAUAUUAGGCCACGUGGCAGCUGCUGGGCAACCUGGAGGAUCCGGUGAAGACAGAAACAUUUCACAGAGGAGGCUCCAGCCUACAGGGAAGGCCGUUCUGGAGUGGAGAGCGCAGACCAGCUGGAGACCUGGAGUCCGUGUGUGCCAAGUUCCUUUGCCCAGGCUCGGGUCGUCACUGUGGGUGGGCCUCUUUCACCCAGGGCUCACCCUCCGUGUUCACGGAGCCCAAAUUCAGCUCAAGUCCCAAGUCCCCCAUCAACUCGCCUGUGUCUUGGGACAGUCCACCCUGCUUCUAGGGCUCCUCACGGAGUCGCCGGAGCGGGCCCCAGCCAGGAGCCCAGAGCACUAAGAGUGACUGUUACCCGUAGCCUGUUUGCAUCACCACAUCAAGGGAGGUCUUUCACUGAGAACCAUUUUGAACGGACAACAUUGCCCGCCUCUCAACACCUCCUCCUUUGGGGCCCUCGGGAGCACCCUGCCAAGCCAGCGCCGCCUCCCAGAGGUCCUCAGCCCAGAGAGGGAAGGGCGGUGAGCCUGGGAUAGGGAGGAGCCCUGGGUCUCCCCAAGAAGUAAUGCUGUGUUUGUGCAAUCGCUUGUUCAGCACCCUUUUCCUGCUACAGGAGGGCAGGUCCUGGGUCUGCACCAGGGCCUCCCCUGGCCAGGCUGAGCACACAGUAGUUAUUUGAUAAGUAUUUGUGGAAAUAAAGUGAGUGGAUGGAGAAA